rnacentral:rRNA from 1 species
UUGAUCCUGGCUCAGGAUGAACGCUGGCGGUCUGCUUAACACAUGCAAGUCGAACGCAACCUUCGGGUUGAGUGGCGGACGGGUGAGUAACGCGUGAGAAUCUGCCUUGGGGUCGGGGACAACCACUGGAAACGGUGGCUAAUACCGGAUAAGCCUUUGGGUAAAAGAUUUAUUGCCCCAAGAGGAGCUCGCGUCUGAUUAGCUAGUUGGUGAGGUAAGAGCUCACCAAGGCAGCGAUCAGUAGCUGGUCUGAGAGGACGAUCAGCCACACUGGGACUGAGACACGGCCCAGACUCCUACGGGAGGCAGCAGUGGGGAAUUUUCCGCAAUGGGCGAAAGCCUGACGGAGCAAGACCGCGUGAGGGAGGAAGGCUCUUGGGUUGUAAACCUCUUUUCUCAGGGAAGAAGCUCUGACGGUACCUGAGGAAUCAGCCUCGGCUAACUCCGUGCCAGCAGCCGCGGUAAUACGGAGGAGGCAAGCGUUAUCCGGAAUUAUUGGGCGUAAAGCGUCCGCAGGUGGCGAUUCAAGUCUGCUGUCAAAGCACGGGGCUUAACUCCGUUAAGGCAGUGGAAACUGAAUAGCUAGAGUGCCGUAGGGGUAGAGGGAAUUCCCGGUGUAGCGGUGAAAUGCGUAGAGAUCGGGAAGAACAUCGGUGGCGAAAGCGCUCUACUGGACGGCAACUGACACUCAGGGACGAAAGCUAGGGGAGCGAAUGGGAUUAGAUACCCCAGUAGUCCUAGCUGUAAACGAUGGAUACUAGGUGUAGCUUGUAUCGACCCGAGCUGUGCCGAAGCUAACGCGUUACGUAUCCCGCCUGGGGAAGUACGCACGCAAGUGUGAAACUCAAAGGAAUUGACGGUGGCCCGCACAAGCGGUGGA